UUUACAAUAAACAGUGAUGGCUUUCAUAAGCAAAACACAAUUAUUGACGAGUUUUUAUCAUUAAUUCCAGGGAAAUCUUCAAACUCGUCGAAUAUACGAACAAAAUCUAAGACAAAAAUUUGGGCAACUUUUUUAACAGGUAUAUCCGAAUGACCGUUAGAAAAAAAAAUGGAAACAUCAAGAUCAAGAUAAUCAACUGUACAAAUAUUCUACCUAAUAUAACUGCGUUGUGAGGUGUAAAUUAUCUUUGUUGAAACAGUUGACCUAACAUAAGUGUUCACGUAAAACAAUCACAUGCACAAGCAAUUUCGAAUAAAAAAACGUUUUUAUAUGGUGAGGAAAGUCUUUAAAAAAAAAUCGAAACUAGUGACAAAAUUUACAAACAAUGGAUCAGCGCUUUAAUUAAAGGUGUUUCCAAUCAACAUUAAAAUGUUAACUUGAUAUUUCAGACAAUAAGUUGUAAACAUAUUCGAGCAAAUAUAACUUUAUUCUUAGUUAGUGAUUAGUUUUGCAAUAAAUCUCAAUGAAAAUAAUAAAUAGUAUACUUUUUUCUAUUAUAAAUUGAUUCUUGCUUAGGCAAUAUACAAUUAUUGACCAUUUUGUAUUAUUAAUUCCAAUAGACUCUUUAAACUCGUCGAAUAUACUCACAAAAUUUGACGCAGAAAUUGUUGUCCGACUUUUUUAACAGAUGCUUCCGAUUUACCAUUAGUUUUUAUGGAAACAUAAAGAUCAAGACAAACAACUGUACACAUAUUCUACCUUAUAUACCAGCAUUUAGACUCUUCAAACUCGUCGAAUAUACUCACAAAAUUUGACGCAGAAAUUGUUGUCCGACUUUUUUAACAGAGGCUUCCGAGUUACCAUUAGUUUUUAUGGAAACAUAAAGAUCAAGACAAACAACUGUACACAUAUUCUACCUUAUAUACCAGCAUUUAGACUCUUCCAACUCGUCGAAUAUACUCACACACUUUGAGGCAGAAAUUGUUGUCCGACUUUUUUAAAAGAUGCUUCCGAGUUACCAUUAUAUUUUUUGCAAACAUAAAGAUCAAGACAAACAACUGUAGACAUAUUCUACCUUAUAUACCAGCAUUUAGACUCUUCAAACUCGUCGAAUAUACUCACAAAAUUUGACGCAGAAAUUGUUGUCCGACUUUUUUAACAGAGGCUUCCGAGUUACCAUUAGUUUUUAUGGAAACAUAAAGAUCAAGACAAACAACUGUACACAUAUUCUACCUUAUAUACCAGCAUUUAGACUCUUCAAACUCGUCGAAUAUACUCACAACAUUUGACGCAGAAAUUGUUUUCCGACUUUUUUAAAAGAUGCUUCCGAGUUACCAUUAGAUUUUAUGCAAACUUAAAGAUCAAGACAAACAACUGUACACAUAUUCUACCUUAUAUACCAGCAUUUAGACUCUUCAAACUCGUCGAAUAUACUCACAAAAUUUGACGCAGAAAUUGUUGUCCGACUUUUUUAACAGAUGCUUCCGAUUUACCAUUAGUUUUUAUGGAAACAUAAAGAUCAAGACAAACAACUGUACACAUAUUCUACCUUAUAUACCAGCAUUUAGACUCUUCAAACUCGUCGAAUAUACUCACAAAAUUUGACGCAGAAAUUGUUGUCCGACUUUUUUAACAGAGGCUUCCGAGUUACCAUUAGUUUUUAUGGAAACAUAAAGAUCAAGACAAACAACUGUACACAUAUUCUACCUUAUAUACCAGCAUUUAGACUCUUCCAACUCGUCGAAUAUACUCACACACUUUGAGGCAGAAAUUGUUGUCCGACUUUUUUAAAAGAUGCUUCCGAGUUACCAUUAGAUUUUUUGCAAACAUAAAUAUCAAGACAAACAACUGUAGACAUAUUCUACCUUAUAUACCAGCAUUAAGGUAACACAGAUAACAAAACAGUCAAUCCACCCCAUGGUCUUCUACAUCUACAUGAUAUAUUUAUACAUACACAAAGAUAAACAAAACAAAAUGCUAUUACACUACAUGUGUACAAGAUCACAUACAUAGUACAGAUAGACCAAUACUACUGACAUGAAAAAAUAGACUCUUCAAACUCGUGGAAUAUACUCACAAAAUUUGACGCAGAAAUUGUUGUUCGACUUUUUUAAAAGAUGCUUCCGAUUUACCAUUAGAUUUUAUGCAAACAUAAAGAUCAAGACAAACAACUGUACACAUAUUCUACCUUAUAUACCAGCAUUUAGACUCUUCAAACUCGUCGAAUAUACUCAUAAAAUUUGACGCAGAAGUUGUUGUCCGACUUUUUUAAAAGAAGCUUCCGAGUUACCAUUAGAUUGUAUGUAAACAUAAAGAUCUAGACAAACAACUGUACACAUAUUCUGCCUUAUAUACCAGCAUUGAAAAUCUUCAAACUCGUCGAAUAUACGAACAAAAUCAGAGACAAUAAUUUCGGCGACUUUUUAAACAGGUGUAUGGUGCAAAGGUGUAACGUGCAUGGUGUAAUGGCACAGGGUGUAUGGUGUAAUGGUGUAUGGUGAAUGGUGUAAUGGCACAGGGUGUAUGGUGUAAUGGUGUAUGGUGAAUGGUGUAAUGGUGUAUGGUGUUAGUGGGAAGUUUACACCAUCCAAGGACUGUAUUCUACCUUAUAUACCUGCAUUAUGAGUUUUGAUUUAUUUUUGUUGAAAAUAUUGACGGAAAAUUAGUGGUCACAUAAAACAAAUCACAUGCAAAAGCAAUUUCGAAUACAAACAAAUUUUUCUAUUACGAGAAAGUCUCAAUAAACGUCGAAAAUAUUGGCAAAAUUUGAUGAAAAAUUUAUCAGCGCUUCUAGCAAAAUGUUUUGCCAAUGUAAAUCAGAACUGUAAACUUUAAGAUUUAGACAAUAAUUUGUAAACACAUUCGAGCUAAUAUAACGAAAUUCUUAGUUGUUGAUUUUUUCAUAACAAAUCUUAAUGAAAAAAUAUAAAGUAUACAAUUUUGACAAUAAAUAGUGAUGGCCUGCAUAAAAGCAAAGCACAAGUAUAGAUGAGUUUUUAUCCUUAAUUUCAGAAAAAUCUUCAAACUCGUCGAAUAUACAAACAAAACCAGAGACAAAAAUUUCGGCGACUUUUUUUAACAGGUAUAUGCGAAUGACCGUUAGGAAAAAUGGAAACAUCAAGAUCAAGAUAAUCAACUGUACAAAUAUUCUACGUUAUAUAACUGCGUUUCGAGGUGUAAAUUAUCUUUGUUGACAAUAUUGACCUAAAAUGAGUGGUCACGUAAAACAAUCACAUGCAUAAUCAAUUUCGAAUAAAAGAACGUUUUUCUAUGGCGAGGAAAGUCUAAAAAAAAUCGAAACUAAUGACAAAAUUUACAAACAAUGGAUCAGCGCUUUUAUGAAAAGGUAUUUCCAAUGAACAUUAAAAUGUUAACUUGAUAUUUCAGACAAUAAAUUGCAAACAUAUUCGGGCAAAUAUAACUGCAUUCUUAGUUAGUGAUUUUUUUUGCAAUAAAUUUCAAUGAAAAUAAUAUAUAGUAUACUUUUUUCUAUUAUAAAUUGAUACUUGGUUGAGCAAUAUACAAUUAUUGACCAUUUUUUAUUAAUAAUUCCAGUAAACUCUUCAAACUCGUCGAAUAUACUCACAAAAUUUGACGCAGAAAUUGUUGUCCGACUUUUUCAACAGAUGCUUCCAAGUUAUCGUUAGAUUAUAUGUCAACAUAAAGAUCAAGACAAACAACUGUACACAUAUUCUACCUUAUAUACCAGCAUUCACAAGUCAGGAUAAGGUAUAGUUUUGACAUGGAUUGAGUGCCACUCUAUUUGAACUUAAGACAGAGUAACUAUUAAUGCUUGAAAUUGCAGAAUUUAACAUAGAAAGCAAUGGGGUUUUAUAAAUAUUACUGAACAGCAUGUGAAAUUCAAAUUUUAGAAAAGCAUACUCCAUUACAUGACAAUCUAGCUGGGAGAUGCAUAAAUUGCCCUUGUUGAUCGAUGUUUUAUAUAAAGUAUGAUUUUUACCAAAACACACUCAUUUUCCAAUAUGCAGAAAAAUGUGCGGACAAAAUUCUCAAUUAUAAUUUAUGUUUAGACCGCUAUAUUUAUAUUUAAUGAACAAUCUUUGUUACAAAUAAGGCAUAUAGGAAAGAACAUCGUUAUUUGAGUAGAUAUUAACAAAUAAGAACCGGCAAAUGUUGGAAAAGUUUCAUAUUGAUCACUAUUAUUUUCCAUAUGGAGUUUCCUUUGUAUAACUCGUAUGUUACUACCAGUCUAACUUGAGCUUAAAUUCAGUGUUAUAGUGUUUCGACAAAAGCUUUAUGUGUUUUUCUAUGCUAGAAAUUGUUAAUAGAAGGAAAUUAAGUAAAGCAGAAAUCAAUAUAGCAAGUUUUGUGCUGUUGUAGGUAUAGAACCAUCAAUUCGGUCCCGGUCAGAAAGGACAUACAAGAAAGUAGUACAAUUUUAAACAAAAUAGUUCCUACGCACAGCUGUAACUUUAUCAACAAGUUAAAUCAUUGGGUAAUUGUGUUAUCAAAUGAAAGCUUAGGGACUUGGUAUCAACGUACAACCCUUGUUGAAACUUUCUUUUGAUUAAUAAAAAAAAUGUAUAAAAUUUCAAAAGGAAGGCAUAAUUGCCCUGUUGUUCAGAUCAGAAGUACCUGUUUUCUGCCUUUUGGUUGGGUUGUUGUCUCUUUGACACAUCCCCAAUUUCUUUUCUCAAUUUUAUACUAUGGUAUAACAGUAUCAAAUCUAUGGAUUAAGUAUGAUAGCAUUUUCAUUAAUUUAAUGAUAGUAGUAAUAGUAGUGCAAGAACAUAUAUGUACAUGCAUAUCAUAUAGCAGUAUACAUAUACUUUCAAAUAUACAUAUACACAUAAGAUAUACACAUAUGUUUAUGGAUUUACACCAUUAAAAUUUAAUCAGUGACCUUAGCCCAGGGGUUCCAAUACAAGUUGUGUUCUUCAACACUCAAAUAUUUUGAGGAAAUGUGUUUUUCUAAGAUCAAGUUUUCUUUAAUGUAAUUUUGAUGUCCUUUUAUAUGAGGUUUUACAUCUUGCAUCUUAGAUCUGUAAAUGAAGUACUUGGUCAGUAAAAUUACUUUGUUUUUGAUAAAAUUCAAUUGAUAAUUUUCAUAGAGGCCAAGAAUGACAACAUCCAUAUUCAGUGGUAUUUCGAUAUGCACUAUAACGAAAAUCCAAGAAUUCAGAUUUUGCCAACUGUCGGCUACAAUAUGACAACCCCAAAGUAAAUGUUCUAUAGAUUCUGGCUCUUCCUUGCAAAAUGUACAUAAAUUACAGUUUACAAGGUUCAUUUUCAAGAGUAGAGCGUUUGUACCCAAAAUAUAAUGAAUAAUUCUAUAUUGAAACCAACAUGACUUCGUGUUUUUUGAAACCUUGGUAACACAAAAGUGUAUUUUUUCCAAUUAUCUACAACCUUAUUGAGAAUACCGUCCAAUUUUUUUUUUCUACUUCAAAAUCUAGAGGUAUAGUACCUUGGUUUGAAAUAGUAUACAUGUCCUUUGAACCCUUUUCUGACUUGUAGAAAAUAUUAUUAUUAAUAGGUAUAAUUGCUAAGCCUUGUUGUUUUUUCUCUCUUUCAGUGUUGAUUCCAAUGGCUUGUAACCACUUUUUUUGUGCUAGUUUAAGCCCAUAAAACUGUAGAAACAUGGGUUUGAAAUUAUCGAUUCUUUCAAAAUUUGUAUAUGUUACUAUAUUUCCAUGUUUAUCUAACAGGUCAUUUACAGUCCAUACUCCAUGAUGUGCCCAAAUUUAUAGUAAACGCUAACAUUAUCAAUUUUAAUAUGCUCAUUAUUUCAUAUAGAUGCCGAAAUGACUUCCCCAAAAUGACAAGGACGUCUGAGUGUUGACAUAUUUUCCAGGCAUUAAAAGCUUCAUCCCAAAAUUAGUUUUUUGAUAUUUUAAUGAUUCCAAAAUAAGCCAACUCUGUAAUAUUUAUAUUUUGUGUGGAGGUUAAUAAUUGUAUCCAUUUAGAUUUUGACUGUAAUAAUUUUCUAACCCAAGUAAGUUUUAACCCUUGUAUAAAAUUUCUCAAAUUUCUCAUUUUUAGGUCCCCUCUAUAGUAUUCUUGACAUAGAAGAUCCCGCUUUAUCUUGCCAGUCUUAUCAUCUCAAAUGAAUGAAUAAAUUUUACUAUUAAGUUGACGUAUAAUAUUAUAAUCUGGACCUGGGAUGGACAGGAACAGAUGAUUAAAUUUUGAUAUAA